rnacentral:rRNA from 1 species
GACGAACGCUGGCGGCGUGCCUAAUACAUGCAAGUAGAACGCUGAAGGAGGAGCUUGCUUCUCUGUAUGAGUUUCGCACGGGUGAGUAACGCGUAGGUAACCUGCCUGGUAGCGGGGGAUAACUAUUGGAAACGAUAGCUAAUACCGCAUAAUAGUAGAUGUCGCAUGACAUUUGCUUAAAAGGUGCAAUUGCAUCACUACCAGAUGGACCUGCGUUGUAUUAGCUAGUUGGUGAGGUAACGGCUCACCAAGGCAACGAUACAUAGCCGACCUGAGAGGGUGAUCGGCCACACUGGGACUGAGACACGGCCCAGACUCCUACGGGAGGCAGCAGUAGGGAAUCUUCGGCAAUGGACGGAAGUCUGACCGAGCAACGCCGCGUGAGUGAAGAAGGUUUUCGGAUCGUAAAGCUCUGUUGUAAGAGAAGAACGAGUGUGAGAGUGGAAAGUUCACACUGUGACGGUAUCUUACCAGAAAGGGACGGCUAACUACGUG